CGGAGGGUGCAAGCGUUGUCCGGAUUUAUUGGGUUUAAAGGGUGCGUAGGCGGCUAUUUAAGUCAGUGGUGAAAUCCUGCAGCUCAACUGUAGAAUUGCCAUUGAUACUGAAUAGCUUGAAUAGAGUCGAGGUAGGCGGAAUUGACGGUGUAGCGGUGAAAUGCAUAGAUAUCGUCAAGAACCCCGAUUGCGAAGGCAGCUUACUAGACUGUAAUUGACGCUGAGGCACGAAAGCGUGGGGAUCAAACAGGAUUAGAUACCCUGGUAGUCCACGCUGUAAACUAUGAUCACUCGAUGUGUGCGAUAUACAGUACGCGUCCAAGCGAAAGCGUUAAGUGAUCCACCUGGGGAGUACGGCCGCAAGGUUG
rnacentral:rRNA from 1 species